GAUGAACGCUGGCGGCGUGCCUAACACAUGCAAGUCGAGCGAUUCUCUUCGGAGAAGAGCGGCGGACGGGUGAGUAACGCGUGGGUAACCUGCCCUGUACACACGGAUAACAUACCGAAAGGUAUGCUAAUACGGGAUAACAUAAGAAAUUCGCAUGUUUUUCUUAUCAAAGCUCCGGCGGUACAGGAUGGACCCGCGUCUGAUUAGCUAGUUGGUGAGGUAACGGCUCACCAAGGCAACGAUCAGUAGCCGACCUGAGAGGGUGAUCGGCCACAUUGGAACUGAGACACGGUCCAAACUCCUACGGGAGGCAGCAGUGGGGAAUAUUGCACAAUGGGCGAAAGCCUGAUGCAGCAACGCCGCGUGAGCGAUGAAGGCCUUCGGGUCGUAAAGCUCUGUCCUCAAGGAAGAUAAUGACGGUACUCGAGGAGGAAGCCCCGGCUAACUACGUGCCAGCAGCCGCGGUAAUAC
rnacentral:rRNA from 1 species